rnacentral:snoRNA from 14 species
ACAUGAUGAAAAUCUUUCGCUGGCACCAGUCCUAGAAAGACUUGUACUCUGUUUGCUGCGGACAACCCUUUGGCUUCUAAAUGCCUCCUAUCUGAU